AACGUAGGACGCAAGCGUUAUCCGGAGUUACUGGGCGUAAAGCGCGGGCAGGCGGCUCGAUGCGUCUGAUGUGAAAUCUCCUCGCUCAACGGGGAGAGGCCAUUGGGAACGGACGAGCUGGAGGGCAGUAGAGGUAGGCGGAAUUCCGGGUGGAGUGGUGAAAUGCGUAGAGAUCCGGAGGAACACCAGAGGCGAAGGCGGCCUACUGGGCUGCACCUGACGCUGAGCCGCGAAAGCCAGGGGAGCGAACGGG
rnacentral:rRNA from 1 species